rnacentral:rRNA from 1 species
CGCGGUAUUUUGACCGUGCGAAGGUAGCAUAAUCAUUAGUCUUUUAAUUGAAGGCUUGUAUGAAAGGUCGGACGAGAAGUUAGCUGUCUUUAUUAAAAAAAUAGAAUUUAACUUUUAAGUGAGAGGGCUUAGAUGUUCUAAGGGKACGAUAAGACCCUAUAAAGUUUAACAUCUUAUUAUUAGUAAGUGAAGUAAGUAGAUAAAAUUAAUUAGUAGAAUGUUGUUUUGUUGGGGUGACUGGAAUAUAAAUAAUAUAACUGUUUUAUAUUGAUACAAAAAUAUUUGGGGAGCAGAACCUUGUUAAAGAUAAAAGAAUAAAUUACUUUAGGGAUAACAGCGUAAUUUUUUUUGAGAGUCCUUAUCGACAAAAAAGUUUGCGACCUCGAUGUUGAAUUAAGGAUGCUUUAUAGCGCAGAAGUUAUAAAAGAAGGUCUGUUCGA